GUCGAACGAACCUUCGGGUUAGUGGCGGACGGGGAGUAACGCGUGAGAAUCUGCCCUCAGGAGGGGGAUAACGGCUGGAAACGGCCGCUAAUACCCCAUAUGCCGAGAGGUGAAAUGAAUUUCGCCUGAGGAUGAGCUCGCGUCUGAUUAGCUUGUUGGUGGGGUAAUGGCCUACCAAGGCGACGAUCAGUAGCUGGUCUGAGAGGAUGAUCAGCCACACUGGGACUGAGACACGGCCCAGACUCCUACGGGAGGCAGCAGUGGGGAAUUUUCCGCAAUGGGCGAAAGCCUGACGGAGCAACGCCGCGUGAGGGAUGAAGGCCUCUGGGCUGUAAACCUCUUUUAUCAAGGAAGAAGAUCUGACGGUACUUGAUGAAUAAGCCACGGCUAAUUCCGUGCCAGCAGCCGCGGUAAUACGGGAGUGGCAAGCGUUAUCCGGAAUUAUUGGGCGUAAAGCGUCCGCAGGCGGCCUGACAAGUCUGCUGUUAAAGCGUGGAGCUUAACUCCAUUUCAGCAGUGGAAACUGUCAGGCUUGAGUGUGGUAGGGGCAGAGGGAAUUUCCCGGUGUAGCGGUGAAAUGCGUAGAUAUCGGGAAGAACACCAGUGGCGAAAGCGCUCUGCUGGG
rnacentral:rRNA from 1 species